ensembl:lncRNA
GGCAUAUGGAGGUUCCCAGGCUAGGGGUCGAACGGGAGCCAUAGCUGCCAGCCUAUGCCAGAGCCACAGUGAUGCGGGAUCCAAGCCACAUCUGCAGCCUCCACCACAGCUCACGGCAACGCCGGAUCCUUAACCCACUGAGCAAGGCCAGGGAUCGAACCCGCGACCUCAUGGUUCCCAGUCGGAUUCGUCAACCACUGAGCCACAACGGGAACUCCCAGACUUUUCUAAUUGCUUCUCAGAGUGGAUUCCGAGGGUCCCCCAAGGCACAGCCCAGCUGGCCAGAAGGUGGACAUGAAACUGUGCUCGUUUCUAAGUCCCUAGGGCCCAGCAAUCUGCGAGCAUUAUGGGGAUGGGGCCAGGUGGAGGCAGAGAGGUCGCUGUCCCCUCCGCCUGCCUGCAAGGUUCUGAGUUGCCCAGGAGCCCCAGCGCCCUCCGUGCGUCUGAGGUAAGCAGGCAGCAUCCUGGAAGGCUCUGAGCCCCUUGGCACCUGCACAGACCGGAAUUCUGGCUCCGAGCUCUACUCAGGAUGAACAUCAGUCAGGGCAGGGCGGGCUGGCUCUGCCAAGGCAGCGCACAGCUCAUGAUUUCAGAGGCUUCAAACAAUAAGUUCAUUUCUCACAUACGCUCCAGAAACAACAUGAACCUGGCGUAAGGUGCCAGGGUGCGGAGCUUCCAUGGAGACGUGGUACCGGUCCUGCCCACAUUGGGCUAAGGAUAUCACAGGCCACCCCUAACAUGACAGGGAGGCCACGCCAGCCCGCCUUGUGCCACAAGGCGGAGGGCCGGAAAUAUUUGGUGGAAAGCAAAACGACCACGACGCCAGCCAAGUGACCUCUGAGCCCAUUUCCUCUUCUGCAAAAUGAGGGCAAACAGUAUUUGAUCUCCGAUUGUUGUGAGGAUUCAAAGAGGAAACCCUUGACACAGGGGAGCACCGGGGUGAGUAAAAUAAAACUCAGAUGCCUCCCAGGCGGCCCCCAUCCGUGAUCUGACCCUCCCGCCUCCAAGGGCCCCUCCAUGGAGAGGCCAGCGGUGCCUGGACGCUGUCCCCUCCCAGAUCGGCACUGACCCCUCGGGCAGGCAGACUUCACCCCCGUGUCCUCACUUCCUGUCCCUCAAAGGAUGUCUUGUGACAGAUUCGCCCUCUGUGCUGUCAGAGGGCAGGGGCGCACAGACGGGAUGGAGCGUCUGGGGGAAACGAAGGAAAUACAUCUCCAUCCUGUGAGAGGAGCCUUGAGCUGGUGGCCCAACCCAGGUCACCCCAUUUUGACCUCAUAAUAGCCCUGUGAUGAGCGGGUGUGGCAGUCCUCAUUUUGAGGGGAACGUCGCCAGGGGCAGUUACAUAACUUGCCCCAGGUCCCACAGCGCCAAGUAGCAGAGCUGGAACGAGCCCAGAUCUCUGACCCGGAGACGCCACCCUCCAGCUCCGUCUUCUGUGACUCGGGUUCAUGCAAACCGUAAACUCACAUGUGGCCCCGUCUCGUGUUCAGCCUUGAGGUCCUAGCAUGCUGUGGUGGGAACUGCCCCCUCGGGGACGCCUAGGGCCAGCUCAGCAGUCACUGUGAGACUCUGGACACGUCUUGUCUCCUCUCUGGGCCUCAUUUCUGCACCUGAAAAUGACGCGGUUGAACCAGAGACUCUUGGGCUCCAGGUUUCUGGGAUGUGGCGACUUGCCUGCACCCACAUCCUCGGUGGCCCUAAGCCUGCAUUCUGAGAAAGCGCUGCAGAGCAGGAAGAUGGACAGCGAUCCCGUGCUUGAGGAUAUGUGGUGUAUCAAACCCUUGCUAACAUUAGAAACCAAAAAUAGUUGCUUUUUCUCUAUUUUUUCCUAAAGCCUUGGGGGGGAGUUGUAAUCCGCAGGGCUCUCUCUUCUCUGCUAUUUAUAACAAAUUCUGGUUUCCUCUAAGUCUGUCUCCUGCAGCAGAGGAAGUCAGGCUGAGCCCUCGCUGGGCUGAGGCCCCUGUGUCUGCACCCCGAUAGCCCCUGUCUGGGGUUCUGAGCCCAGGUGCCAGGCAGGGCUGGGGCUGGAAGCCAGGAACCCUGAACUCCCCAUCCCUAGAAGUUGAAGUCAGCGCUCAGAGUUCCCCCCAAUGCCAGUGCCUGGUGCUAAUUCUAAAGGGGAACCACAGGACGGAUUCAAGUUCAGAAACCACCUCUGCAUCAUUUCUAGGGCCUAAGGACAGCUCUUGGGUGUGCGGAUUUGUUACUAUAGGGUUGCUGUGAGAACGAGGGAUCCGGGCUCUUGGAUGGCUGCCCCCAGUUGCUGCUGGAGUAUUUUCAACACAGCAGCGUGGGAGCUUCCCAACUCAGAGAGGGCCCCCCAACUCCGCAGGCUCCCAUCUGCCCAGACGCCCACCGCUCCCUGCCAACAGCUCCUGUCAGCAGAGGUGAUGGGGGCCCAAGACGCCUGGGGGAGGAGCUCGGCUCAACUCCAACUCCUGAGGCAGAGGGGGUGGAGUGGGAAUGUACAGAGGAGGAAGCUGGGCGCUGCUGAGGCUGGACACAGGCUGACAGGGCAGGCACAUCCUAGUGCCAGCCCCCCCCCCAACCCCCUCGCCACGCUGACUCUCUUAACUAAAUCUGCCCAGGUUGCAGUUUAAGCCUCUUCACUACCAACUCAGAUCCCUGUCUGAUUUCCUCGCCUCCAGCAGCAGCGCCCGAGAGGCAGCUGCCCAGAGGCCCUGACCUCUGGGAGGCUUGAAUUUCCAGCACACGUGCCUCCCAGCUCCUCCUGGUUCGACACCCCUGUGACCUGGAGGGAUGUGGAGGGGGUGGGGGCAGCGCUUCUGGCGCCAUUUCCCAGCAGUGAAUCUAUGAGUCAGAAGGGUCACCUACUCUCAGAAGUCAGAGGGGACUUCCUGGAGGCAGGAAACCAGAGUUGGGCCCUGGAGAAGCCCAGAGUCUUGUGGGCAGGAGGGCAGCUUUGCAAAAUACCGCACGAGCCUCCAAGAGGACUAAGCCUGGAGUCAAAGCCUGUGUCAGCCCAGCUCUGUCCACCAGCCCAGCUCCCGUCCCUGCACAGCUACUGGAAGGGAUCUGGGAAGCCUGGAACCGGAUGCAAAGUUCAAAUCCGGGAUCUGCCGCUUAUAUGCUGGGUGAGACUCAGUUUCCCCAUCAGCAAAAAUUAAAAAGAAUACAGCCUAGCUCACAAGGUCAUGAGCAUGAAAUGAGAACAUCCACGUCGGGCUCCUUGCUGGUUGGAGAAGCUCCUCUCAUAUUAGUCUCCGCCCAUCUCUCACUUUGGUUGGAUGGACUCAACACUCUGCUGGCCUCCUGCCCCGGGAGGGGCAACUGCUGGCCCCAGAGAGCCCGUCCUCCAGAUUCAAAUGCUAGUGAAAGGUGUGGGGUCCCCCCCAGGACCUUCCCUAUCCCCCUGCCCCUCCUCCAUCCUGGGAAACUGCUGGCAGCUGCCGCCUGUUUGCCAGAGGAUGGGGUGGAGGUGGGGAAUGGGUUUGCUCUUGAAAUUACUUUGGUUUGGGGGCUACGGAUGGAGCAGUCAUCUGUGGGGUGGGUGGGGGGAGGGAACGAGAGGAGAGUGGCACCCCAGACACUGCUCAUCCCCUAACCCACAGGCUUUUCAAAAUCUCCGAUGUGGUUUCAUCAGCUGAGGGUGAUGCAAGAGGCCUGGAGCCAGGCUCCCCUUCCUCCCUUCCCCUAGAGAGCUCCUUCCACAUCUGGAGCUGCAGCUGGGUCCUCCUCUUGGGCUCCUUCCAGGGAAGGGAGCUGGCUGAAGUGAGAAAAGGGAGGGCAGCUGGUGAGGGGCCCCGUGAAUGGCCCCAAUGUUGGAGGUGGGGGGCAGGGAGACGGGCGAGCUCAGAGGGAGGAGAGGGGGACUGGAAAGGCACCUCCGACUUUCCAGGGCAGUCUCCUCCAUCACCGGGCCCGGGGCUCCCUUAGUCUUUAAAACCCACUUGAAGGCAGAAGGCAGCAGCCCUCAGUACCCCCCUCCCACUGCCUCCCCCUCAGCCUCUACUCAGGUGCCUGGAGCUGAGUACUCCCUUUGUUUCUGUCCCCCAGGGGCAGCUCAGGCCUCCCACACUUACCCUCUGCCCCAAGGCCACUCAAGCAAAGGGGUAGGGGGAAGGGGGUCAUCUAUGGGUCAAAAAAGUCACUGGAGCCUCGUGGUCUCGCCGAAGGGAGGGAGGGGACAUCGGGGCUAGGAACUUGGCCCCAGAUCAACCUGAGAUGAACUUUAAAGAGCUGCAGGGUGUGGGUGGAGGGAAUUUCAGUGAGACAGUAGCAAGAAACCCCCUCCGUAAAAGUUGGCAAUUCACUGUAAUACAUGCAGAAGGGAGGCUUUCCCGGCGGGCGCCUUCAGAACACAAAACCGCCAGUCGCUGGGAGACGCUCAGCAGAGAAGCCCUAGGCCGGGAGACCGGGUUCUUACCCACGCUUAGCCACUAACUCCUGUGUGACCUUGGUAGUUCCCCUCUCUACGUCCAGGCUUCCGCAUUUAGGAGCGGGGGUCCCACAGAGGCUGCAGGUGUGCAUCCCUGGGGGCCUAGGCUCCAGCGUGGUCAAUUCUCGGCCGGCGUCCUUCCAAGCCCCAACCCUGGCCAUCCAACCAACCCCCC